rnacentral:rRNA from 1 species
AGUGAACGCUGGCGGUAGGCCUAACACAUGCAAGUCGAACGGCAGCACAGUAAGAGCUUGCUCUUGCGGGUGGCGAGUGGCGGACGGGUGAGGAAUACAUCGGAAUCUACUUUUUCGUGGGGGAUAACGUAGGGAAACUUACGCUAAUACCGCAUACGACCUACGGGUGAAAGCAGGUGAUCUUCGGACCUUGCGCGAUUGAAUGAGCCGAUGUCGGAUUAGCUAGUUGGCGGGGUAAAGGCCCACCAAGGCGACGAUCCGUAGCUGGUCUGAGAGGAUGAUCAGCCACACUGGAACUGAGACACGGUCCAGACUCCUACGGGAGGCAGCAGUGGGGAAUAUUGGACAAUGGGCGCAAGCCUGAUCCAGCCAUACCGCGUGGGUGAAGAAGGCCUUCGGGUUGUAAAGCCCUUUUGUUGGGAAAGAAAAGCAGCAGGUUAAUACCCCGCUGUUCUGACGGUACCCAAAGAAUAAGCACCGGCUAACUUCGUG